UUUAGGAGUGCAGGAGCUCCCAGGGGAGCCUCAAACCAGCUUUGCCUUUGGGGAGAUAAACCCAGAUGCAGAGAACACUGGGAAAGGGAGGUUGGCAGCUUGGGAAUCAGCAAAUCCCUGCCUCGAGUAAGCCUUUUGUGACAUCUGUGUCACCCUGGCACAUGGCAGAGGGGGUGCUGGGGAAGUGAGGGCUUCCCUGCAGGAGCACUGGAGAGCUUGGGCCUCUCCUGCUGUUCAGACCAUGCUGGGGACUCUUCUGUCAGUCAUGGGUGGAAAUGAUCCCUGGAAUUUGUUGUCAGUGGCACUGAUUCAAGAAUCCCAUGCUGUGUCUUGCAGUGAGUGGAUCCUUCAUGUCUCUGCUGGUUCAGUCCCUGCCCUGCCUGACACUCCAGAUCACAGUCCCAGUGCUCCCAGCAUUUGCCAACAGCCUGGCAGAAAUUAAUGUAAAAAAGAGCAAACCAGCUAUUGGGGACUAGCUUGGAAAUGUGUAAGAGCCUCUGGGUGUCUGUGCAUAGUGUCCUGCUUUUAUGUAGAGCCUUUUAGGGUUGUUCUGGAGGCAAUUCCAGAACACAGCUUUCUUUGUCAUCCCUCGGUCCCUGCUGACUGAUUCAUGUUCUGCUGAAGGCAAAGAGAGAGGGGAAAAAUGCUGGCAGGACUGCAGAGGAGGCAAACCACAGGGAAUGUGGCAUGGGCAGGGCAUGCAGCCUGGAGCUGGUGGCUCUGCAGCACCCAGGCAAAUUCCAAAAUCAAUUGGAAUUGGGAAAGCUGAACAGGGCGGGGAGGGAGCAGCUGGCAGAGGGCAGAGCCUGAGUAAAGAGGAGUCAGAAACUUUCCUGUUAGUUUGUCACUGAUCCUGAAGCAAAGGUUGGUGAGUAAAAAGCAGUUUACUGCUUUUCCAAAACGUGGCAGCCCCUUUGCCCUGCCCCGGGGAUGAGCCACUCUCCUUUCUUCCUUCCUUCUGCUUCCUUCCUUCCCUCCCCGAGCCAGUCUCCUGAGAGCUUUUCAGUCCAGCUGCAAAUAUCUCAGUUGCACCCAGACUGCAAGAUCUGAAGAGCAGGAAAAAUGUAGGAUUGGGUAAAAGUGACCUCCAGUUUUCCCUCGGGGAGUGGCUCAGCAGCUGCAGCAGUGAGGAGCUGUGGAUGUGCACAGUGGGACCCCGCAGGUUCUCUGGUCUGGCUUUGACCCGCUGCAGUUACAAAACCCCCUUCCCUGCGCCAGCUUUUCUCUCUCUGAAGAUUUAAGGGGUGCAGAUGCUUUUUGCCACGGUGGUGAACUCUGACAAAUGCUUCCUGAGCCUGGUGCUGACCUCGGGAUAGGCAGCUCCUGACUGCGUGCAUUCAUUCCUGCCUCCGUAAUGCUUAAAUAUAGAGCGGCGGUGAGUCACGCGUUCCCGGGACACUGCAGGCUCCUGGCAGCGCUCCUGGGCUGGGAGGGAGAGGGGACUACACCCGUCCUGUCCCUGCGUCCGGUGUCCCCGCGCCUGUGGCAAUGAGCCCCAUCCCAGAUGGAGCUGGAAAAGCCCUCUUGGCUCCGCAUCAGGAGCCGAGCUGCAGCUCCUGUGCUGCAUUCCUCCUUCCCAGCGCGUCGUGGCUGUGUCAGGAUUCUGCCCGUGCCACUCUGCUGGGGAGGACGUGGGAUAGAGGGACCGAGCUCCUUUUCCAUCGGCUUUGGCUGGCUCAGGGAGCUGCUGGUGGAUGUUUAGCCGGGGGAAGAGGCAGCUGGUGGCUCAGCCUUUUCAGCUGCAGCUGCAGUGAUCCUUACCCUUGUUGGGUUCCUCCCCUGCUGGUGACCCCCACGGUCACCCUUCAGCUGCAGCUGUGGCAGAAGAGCCCCAGGGACCCAGGUUCCUGAUGAUGGGAAUUAAGCACAAGCUCCACUGCUCUGCAGGGUGAAGCCCAGGGAGGGCUGUGGUGUACAGACCCCAGAGGUUUUGGUCAUGGAAGAGGCCAGCCUGACCUUCCCACAUAUUUGCCCCUCCUGGAAAAGAGAUCCUCAACAGCUGAUCCUGCUUUCAGCCCAGCAUUAUCUGCCCUCCCCUCUUGCAGCCCUUUAGUGCUGAGUGCUCCCAGUGGAGACACAAGUUUAGUGUUGAACAGGAAUUUGGGGUAGGAGCAGCUCCUGCACCUGCCCUGUGAGAUGCUGAAGGGAAACAGAGGAGCUUGGUUUCCACAAA